CCUACGGGCGGCAGCAGUGAGGAAUAUUGGUCAAUGGACGAGAGUCUGAACCAGCCAAGUAGCGUGAAGGAUGACUGCCCUAUGGGUUGUAAACUUCUUUUAUAUGGGAAUAAAAUGUUCCACGUGUGGGAUUUUGUAUGUACCAUAUGAAUAAUGAUCGGCUAACUCCGUGCCAGCAGCCGCGGUAAUACGGAGGAUCCGAGCGUUAUCCGGAUUUAUUGGGUUUAAAGGGAGCGUAGGUGGAUUGUUAAGUCAGGUGUGAAAGUUUGCGGCUCAACCGUAAAAUUGCAGUUGAAACUGGCAGUCUUGAGUACAGUAGAGGUGGGCGGAAUUCGUGGUGUAGCGGUGAAAUGCUUAGAUAUCACGAAGAACUCCGAUUGCGAAGGCAGUUCACUGGACUGCAACUGACACUGAGGCUCGAAAGUGUGGGUAUCAAACAGGAUUAGAUACCCCAGUAGUC
rnacentral:rRNA from 1 species